CCGUGUUGGGUCUGCAGGGUGUUGGGUUCGACCGAGUGGGUCUGGGCUCCGGAGUGCUCAUUCAGGUGAAGCUGGUUUCUUACAUUACCUGUGAUGUGCUGUAACCAAAAGCCUUCAUCUUCGAAUUGCCAGAGCUAAGGAAUGAAAAUAUGAACACGGCAGAGUAACAGGGCUUGGAACUGUCUCGCUAGAUUCCACGCGCGCCACGCGAGUCAUCAGCCACCGUGUCAGCCGAGUUCUCGUUGUCAGAGCUUAAUUCCUGAUGAUGCUGUUACCAGGAACCACUUCACUCGUGAAAAAUUACGCAGUCUGCAAAGCUGUGUACUGUUGAGUUCUGAUACAUUUAAGAAAUCAGAUUUAACUGCUCCUCAAGAAAUGCUGUGUAAAAAUAAAUUCAUGCGGGAUUUAUUAUUCGCCCCACCUCAUAGACCGAGAAACCAAGAUGUGAGACCAGAGACUAGACUGAAGCGCUGUGCACAGCACCGUGCUUUGCCUAUAAUUGAUGUUGGAUGAAUAAUCAUUGACCGCAGUGGAGGCCGCUGUGGUCCGCGGCCCCCAGCCCAGCGCCGCCAGCCCUCUUGCGGUAGCGCCGUCACUCAAGUGAGUAAUCUUUACACGGGUGGACGCCACAGCAUGGAAGCCACAGAUGGUUUCCACCCAGCCUUUCACCUUUUCUCUAGAUAAUAAAAAGUAUAGUUCCAGACAGUGGUGCUGGAAGGAAAAGGCGUGUUUGCCUCAUCCCUACAACAGAGGUCUUGGUCUACUGAGCGGCUUGCACAUGACUCCGUCCACUGGCUGCCAUUGAUUCAACAGAAGCAAAGAGAAUGCAGGAGACAUUGUGAAAACCAGGUUCUAAGGUGAACUGACUCCUGCCCCAAUUUUCAUAGGCUCUGGAAACUAGAAAGUGUCAGGAAAAAAAAUCAGGAAUUUAACAGACCUAAGAAGAACCAAAGGUACAAAUAUAUCAACCUUUAUUCCCUAUGUCUCAUGCCCCUUUCUGCCAGAAAGUGGGUAUGAUAUAUAUAUAUAUACAAACAAAAAAUUUUA